rnacentral:tRNA from 1 species
ACACUUCCCUUACACUGAAGAGAUAUUCGUGCAAACCGAAUCACCCU